UUUAGCAUGGAAUAAUGAAAUAGGACGUGCGGUUCUAUUUUGUUGGUUUCUAGAGUCGCCGUAAUGAUUAAUAGGGACGGUCGGGGGCAUUGGUAUUCAGGCGCUAGAGGUGAAAUUCUUGGAUUGCCUGAAGACUAACUACUGCGAAAGCAUUUGCCAAGGAUGUUUUCAUUGAUCAAGGACGAAGGUUAGGGGCUCGAAAACGAUCAGAUACCGUUGUAGUCUUAACAGUAAACUAUGCCGACUAGGGAUCGGGCGACCUCAAUUUGAUGUGUCGCUCGGCACCUUACGAGAAAUCAAAGUCUUUGGGUUCCGGGGGGAGUAUGGUCGCAAGGCUGAAACUUAAAGGAAUUGACGGAAGGGCACCACCAGGAGUGGAGCCUGCGGCUUAAUUUGACUCAACACGGGGAAACUCACCAGGUCCAGACAUGACUAGGAUUGACAGAUUGAUAGCUCUUUCAUGAUCUCAUGGGUGGUGGUGCAUGGCCGUUCUUAGUUGGUGGAGUGAUUUGUCUGGUUAAUUCCGAUAACGAACGAGACCUUAACCUGCUAAAUAGCCAGGCCGGCUUUGGCCGGUCGCAGGCUUCUUAGAGGGACUGUCGGCGUCUAGCCGACGGAAGUUUGAGGCAAUAACAGGUUUGUGAUGCCCUUAGAUGUUCUGGGCCGCACGCGCGCUACACUGACAGAGCCAGCGAGUUCAUAUCCUUGGCCGGAAGGUCCGGGUAAUCUUGUGAAACUCUGUCGUGCUGGGGAUAGGGCAUUGCAAUA
rnacentral:rRNA from 1 species